UAGCUUGCAUAGUUAGCUAAGCUCGAGUGCUGCGAAGAGUUACGAAAAACUUAAAAAAUUGAAUAUGAGAAACCAACAAUGUAAGUUGAAGCUCGUGUACUACUUCUUGCUUUUGCUGAAGAUAUUGCCGACGAUUUUGGCGCACAAUUGGGAUCCCAAAACAGGCGGAGAACGAGGAGCAGAAGAAAAGGCUAUAGAUUACUGUAUGUGGUUCUUGAAUUUAACUAGAGAGGACUUUCUUUGUGCUGCCAAGGUUGACCGGAUUUAUUAUAAAUUUUUAUGAAGAGCUGACCUCGCCUAAUAAAGUCUGGGUAUAAUAGAAUUAUA